UACAGAGGUCCCAAGCGUUGUUCGGAUUCAUUGGGCGUAAAGGGUGCGUAGGCGGCGCGGUAAGUCGGGAUGUGAAAGUCUCGGGGCUUAACUCCGAAACUGACAUUCGAGUACUGCCGUGCUUGAGGACUGGAGAGGAGACUGGAAUUUACGGUGUAGCGGUGAAAUGCGCGAUAUCAGGAGGAACACCGGUGGCGAAGGCGGGUCUCUGGGCCGAUACUGACGCUGAGGAGCGAAAGCGUGGGGAGCAAACAGG
rnacentral:rRNA from 1 species